rnacentral:rRNA from 1 species
UACGUAGGGACCAAGCGUUGUUCGGAUUUACUGGGCGUAAAGGGCGCGUAGGCGGCUUGACAAGUCACUUGUGAAAUCUCCGGGCUUAACUCGGAACGGCCAAGUGAAACUGUCAUGCUAGAGUGCAGAAGGGGCAAUCGGAAUUCUUGGUGUAGCGGUGAAAUGCGUAGAUAUCAAGAGGAACACCCGUAGCGAAGGCGGCACUCUGGGCCGAUACUGACACUGAUGAACGAAAGCCAGGGGAGCAAACGGG